rnacentral:rRNA from 1 species
UACGUAGGGGGCAAGCGUUGUCCGGAAUUAUUGGGCGUAAAGAGCGUGUAGGCGGUCCGGUAAGUCAGCUGUGAAAGUCAAGGGCUCAACCCUUGAAAGCCGGUUGAUACUGUCGGGCUAGAGUCCGGAAGAGGCGAGUGGAAUUCCCGGUGUAGCGGUGAAAUGCGCAGAUAUCGGGAGAAACACCGGUGGCGAAGGCGGCAUCCUGGACCGGCAUUGACGCUGAGGCGCGAAAGCCAGGGGAGCAAACGGG